GGGAAGGUGGCUCAGUGGUAGAGUGCAUGCCUUGCAUGCAUGAGGCCCUGGCCUCAAUUCCUCACCA
rnacentral:tRNA from 1 species